rnacentral:rRNA from 1 species
UACGUAGGCAGCAAGCGUUGUUCGGAGUUACUGGGCGUAAAGGGUGCGUAGGCGGCUAUUUAAGUUUGGUGUGAAAUCUCCCGGCUCAACUGGGAGGGUGCGCCGAAUACUGAGUGGCUAGAGUGUGGGAGAGGAAAGUGGAAUUCCUGGUGUAGCGGUGAAAUGCGUAGAUAUCAGGAGGAACACCUGUGGUGUAGACAGCUUACUGGACCACUUCUGACGCUGAGACACGAAAGCGUGGGUAGCAAACAGG